UGCGGGAGCGGGCUUGCUCGCGAUAGCGCUGCAUCAGUCAAAGAUACAUCGACUGACACUCCGCUAUCGCGAGCAAGCCCGCUCCCACA
rnacentral:misc_RNA from 1 species